CGUAGGGUGCGAGCGUUGUCCGGAAUUACUGGGCGUAAAGAGCUCGUAGGUGGUUUGUCGCGUUGUUCGUGAAAACCGGGGGCUUAACCCUCGGCGUGCGGGCGAUACGGGCAGACUGGAGUACUGCAGGGGAGACUGGAAUUCCUGGUGUAGCGGUGGAAUGCGCAGAUAUCAGGAGGAACACCGGUGGCGAAGGCGGGUCUCUGGGCAGUAACUGACGCUGAGGAGCGAAAGCGUGGGGAGCGAACAGG
rnacentral:rRNA from 1 species